GUUUCUGUUGUCACAAUGACACUACCUUGAGGAUGCAGCCUUGGCAGUACAAGCAUUAUUUGUAGGCUGGGGAUCUGCCCCCUGACUUCGUCAGUCUAGGACCAGUCUGAAAGAGAAGCCUCAAAUGGUAAUAUUGCCAUGAUUGUGCCAGAGGAAAAAGACUGGAACAUACAACAACUUGUCUUUUAAUGUCCUUGGAAUUGAUUCUUUAAACUAUGAUAAAUCUUGUGGUGCCAUUCAGCUGCCACUCAAACCUGCCAAUCUAUCUACAAGUUUCAUUAUGAGGAAGGAGAAUACGUGAUGGUUAUCCUUUCAGAACAACAGUAAGUGAAAACCACAAUCAAAUCAAGUCAGUUCUGCUAAUAGAUUGCAAAUAAGAUGCCUUGCCCGAAGAUUCCAACCAUAAAUAAGCCUUUCAACAUAUUCAGCGUAUGUCCUUUGCAACAUUGACACAGGCUGCUCUUAAAAAGAGAAAAUGAGAGAGCUUACACUUUCAAGGCUGCUCUGGGAAAAUUGGGAGUGGAGAGAUUAUAUUCCCUUGUAAUGGACCUAUAACAAAGAAAAAAAAAACGACACCAUUAAUUUCUCCACCUGAACUCCUGCUACACUAUAAAUUGCCCUCCAUUUUAUACAGAAGUUUGAUCACUUGAUUACUUCAGACGAAUGGACUGCAGAUAAUAUGAUACUGGCAGAAGACAAGAGAACUUUCCCAGGGAGAAAUCCAGCAAAGUCUUAGCUCUCUCAGAGCAUGUGUUUCUCAGAAACCCACAGGAACAGAGUGUUUCCAGUGCUUGGAAGGAAGCAUCAUCUUGAAGGAUUGUAUGUUCCAGAACAUUAGAAGCUUGUAUUACAAGAUGGAGACAUGGUCCAGAAAAAAGUCACUGGCUUUGGAGAAAGCAGAAAUGAGGUAGUACAGUUUUCUGGACAGAAGUAUAGAUUCAAACACUGAAUUCUCUUUCUUCCUUCAGAUUAUAAGGGGCACGAAUCUACAGGAACUAAGCUGGGUGAUAUGGCAUAGGAUCUCUCAUGAGAUUGCAGUCAGACAUCAGCCACGGAGACACCACUGAGGCUCGAGGUCCUGCUUCAGAACUUGCUGUGAGGUUGUUGGAAAGCUCCAAUUCAAUGCUGGCUGUUGGCCUUCAGGCCACUAAUUCUCAUCAUGUGGCUCUCCUCAUAGCAGCUGGCUUCCACCAGAAUGAGUGAUUUGAGAAGAAAGAAAAUAAGCUACUGACAUCCAAGAAGCCCAAUAAGCACACAUUCAAGGAAAAGGGAAUUAAGCUUCAUUUCUUGAAGAGAUGAGUAUCAAAAAAUUUUGUGAAUUUAUUUGUAAAACCACCAAAUCUUCUUUAGUCUGCACUUUGUAUUCAUCUCACAUGCAAAUAUGCAUGCCUUCUCAAGGCCACAAAACUCUCAUGCCACUGUAGCCUCUGCUAAAUCCAUAAUCUUUUAUUUAAAUUGAGUCCAAAUGUGGAUAAGACUCUUAGGAAUUACUUCCUUAAGUACAGCCCCUCAAGUACAGGUUUUUCUCCACUACUUACGAAACUAAAAGCAUAUGUUAUCCACCCCCAACACACAAUAUACAUAUAUGUAUACACAUAGAAUGGUGGGGCAGGCUUUGUAUAAGCACUAUAGGCAUUCGUGACCUAAAUAGGCAAAAAUAGGAGGUGCAAAAAUGUCAUUGAUCCAUGGCUAUUGUGAAAUCCAGCUAGGCAAAUGUUGGAUAUUCAUUGAUAACUUUUCAAGGCCUGGAAGUAAUUUCCUAUGGCUCUCAGCUCCACCAUCUGACCUCUUUGUUCUUCCUCCUUCCUUUUUCAUGACAUGUUGUAUGUUUAUAGUUGGCUAGUUUCCUCAACCAGCUUUCUGCCAGUAGAAUUUUGGAGGUCCAAAGGUCAUUCUUUCAUUUUAUUUCAUUUGGAGGUUCUCUUUUCAUUUUAUAUUUUAUUUAUCAUUUUCAGUUCAAGCUGGCAAUGCUUUUGCAUAUGUAAUUCUUUUAAAAACCUUAUUGGUGUGACUCUUAUGGAGGAUUACACUAGUAAACAAAAGCACAUCCCCAAUUUCCCCAGGAUAAGUCCUUUCUCUACCUGAGGAUUCUACUGAGACUACUAAUGAACAAUGCUCUUAGGACCCCAGUACUACUAUUGUUUGAUUGAAAGCAUCUGCAAGACAGUGGAUAUCUUGAGUGGGUCUUUUAUCUGACCAGAAGUAACUUGGAUACACUGCUGUAACUUUUUCUGAGAUAUUAUGAAAUAACUGUACAGUCACUUCUGUGGCUUC